rnacentral:rRNA from 1 species
CAGCCGCCGCGGUAAUACGUAGGUGGCAAGCGUUGUCCGGAAUCAUUGGGCGUAAAGCGCGCGCAGGCGGUCCUUUAAGUCUGAUGUGAAAUCUUGCGGCUCAACCGCAAGCGGUCAUUGGAAACUGGGGGACUUGAGUGCAGGAGAGGAAAGCGGAAUUCCAUGUGUAGCGGUGAAAUGCGUAGAGAUAUGGAGGAACACCAGUGGCGAAGGCGGCUUUCUGGCCUGUAACUGACGCUGAGGCGCGAAAGCGUGGGGAGCAAACAGGAUUAGAUCCCCUGGUAGUCCACGCCGUAAACGAUGAGUGCUAAGUGUUGGAGGGUUUCCGCCCUUCAGUGCUGCAGCUAACGCAUUAAGCACUCCGCCUGGGGAGUACGGUCGCAAGACUGAAACUUAAAGGAAUUGGCGGG